rnacentral:rRNA from 1 species
GUAACGCCUGCCCUGUGGAAACCCUAAACGGCCGCGGCAUAAAACCGUGCAAAGGUAGCACAAUCACUUGUCCCUUAAAUGAGGACCUGUAUGAAAGGCAAUAUGAGAGAGGACCUGUCUCCUGGGGCAAACCAACGAAAUUGAACAGCCAGUACAAAAGCUGGCAUCUACAAGCAAGACAAAAAGACCCCAUGGAACUUUAACAGCCCCUUAAUAAUUAUUUAAGGGCAGUUUCGGUUGGGACAACCAUAGAAAAACUAAACAUCUAAUCAUAAUAAGACCAACUAGUCUAAAAUACUAAACUGAUCCAGUAUAACUGACCAAUGGAACAAGCUACCCUGGGGAUAACAGCGCCACCUUCUUAAAAAGUCCUUAUUAACAAGAAGAUCUACGACCUCGAUGUUGGAUCAGGGUAUCCUAACGGUGUAGCAGCUGUUAAUGGUUCG